AGAGCGAACGCUGGCGGCGUGCCUAACACAUGCAAGUCGAACGUGAAAUGGGGCAACCCAAAGUAAAGUGGCGCACGGGUGAGUAACACGUGACUAACCUACCCUUGAGUGGGGGAUAACCUAGGGAAACCUGGGCUAAUACCGCAUAAUACCUACGGGUCAAAGGAGCAAUUCGCUUAAGGAGGGGGUCGCGGCCGAUUAGUUAGUUGGCGGGGUAAUGGCCCACCAAGACGAUGAUCGGUAUCC
rnacentral:rRNA from 1 species